rnacentral:rRNA from 1 species
GACGAACGCUGGCGGCGUGCCUAACACAUGCAAGUCGAACGAGAACUUCGGGUCUUGUGGCGCUCGGGUGCGUACCACGUGGGAACCUGCCCUUAGGUUAGGAAUAACUCACCGAAAGGGGUGCUAAUAAAGGAUAGUGUAUUCGGACAAAAGAUUUAUCGCCUUUGGAUGGGCGCUCGUAGGAUUCGCUGGUUGGUAGUGUAAAAGCCUGCCAAGGCGACGAUGCAUAGCUGGUCGGUGAGGAUGGCCAGCCACACUUGGACUGAGACACGGCCCAGACUCCGACGGAAGGCAGCAGUGUGUAAUAUUGGACGAUGGACGAAAGCCUAAUCCAGCAAUGCCGCGUGUGUGAGGAAUGCCGUAGUGUUGUAAAGCUCUUUUACCCGAGAUGAUAAUGACAGUACCGGGUGAAGAAGCACCGGCUAACUCCGUG